rnacentral:rRNA from 1 species
UACGUAGGGUGCAAGCGUUGUCCGGAAUUAUUGGGCGUAAAGAGCUCGUAGGCGGUCUGUCACGUCGGCUGUGAAAACCCGGGGCUCAACCCCGGGCCUGCAGUCGAUACGGGCAGACUAGAGUGCGGUAGGGGAGACUGGAAUUCCUGGUGUAGCGGUGAAAUGCGCAGAUAUCAGGAGGAACACCGGUGGCGAAGGCGGGUCUCUGGGCCGUAACUGACGCUGAGGAGCGAAAGCGUGGGGAGCAAAAGGG